GCCAGCAGCCAUAUCACCCUGCAACUCACAACUGGCAACCCACUAAAGUUAAGCGGGUGUGAGCCUGGUCAGUACCUUGAUGGGAGACCUGCUGGGAAAAACUAAGGUUGCUGCUGGAA
rnacentral:rRNA from 1 species